rnacentral:rRNA from 1 species
AACGUAGGUGGCGAGCGUUAUCCGGAUUUACUGGGCGUAAAGGGUGUGCAGGCGGACUGUUAAGUGGUGCAUGAAAUCUCCGCGCUUAACGUGGAGAGGCUGUGCCAGACUGGCAGUCUGGAGUACGUGAGAGGGUUGUGGAAUCCGGUCGGUAGUGAUGGAAUGACGUAGAGAUCCGGAGGAACACCAGAGGCGAAGGCGGCAACCUGGCACGUUACUGACGCUCAUACACGACAGCAUGGGGAGCGAACGGG